rnacentral:lncRNA from 1 species
CGAGGUGAAGAUGCUGCUGGCGGAACCUGCAGGAGCUAGCGGGAUUCGGGGGCGCUAAAGUCGCAGGGACAGGGCGGGAAGGAAGAUCCGGCGCGGGGCACAGGAUCCGGAGCUGGAGCCCCCAGAGGCCUCACGACAGGACUAGUGCCUUGGUAAGAAGAGGAAAAGGCCAGAGCUCCCUCCCUACCCCGUGUGGACCCAGCAGGA